rnacentral:rRNA from 1 species
AACGUAGGAGACAAACGUUAUCCGGAGUUACUGGGCGUAAAGCGUGCGUAGGUGGUGAGUUAAGUCUGUCGUGAAAGCCCCGGGCUCAACCUGGGAAUGGCGAUGGAUACUGGCUCGCUAGAGUGCGGUAGAGGAGAGUGGAAUUCCCGGUGUAGCAGUGAAAUGCGUAGAGAUCGGGAGGAACAUCAGUUGCGAAGGCGGCUCUCUGGACCAGCACUGACACUGAGGCACGAAAGCGUGGGGAGCAAACAGG